AACUUUCAAUAACGGAUCUCUUAGUUCUAAUAUUAAUAAAGAACGUAGCGAAAUGUAAUAAGUAAUAUAAAUUAUAGAAUUUAAUAAAUUAUCGAAUCUUUAAACGUAUAUUAUAUUCGCUAAUAUUCUAAUAAAUAUAUUUAUUCAAGUAUUA
rfam:Neurospora crassa OR74A unplaced genomic scaffold supercont12.8, whole genome shotgun sequence.